rnacentral:rRNA from 1 species
ACAAAAGUUUACUUCGCUUCUUACAACAAACCUUACAACCACCCCUUAAAUAAAUUAUUUACAUAAAACUAAUUACACUUAUUUUUUUGAUAGUACUAAAUAGGAAUAAAUUAAUAGUAAAAAGUAGUGGUAAAAUCACGUACCUUGUGCAUUAUGGUUUUACAAGCAUAAAAUAAAUUAUAUACUCCCGAAUUCUAUGCGAGCUGUCCAAACAUUGCUAAGAGCCCACUACUAGUUGUAGCAUCAACUUUAGAAAAUGUUUGGACAGAGGCUACAUACCAUACGCGCUAGAAAAUUGCUGGUUUUCAGUAAAAUUUAUAUAUUAAAACAUGUGGUAUACACCACACUGUAAAAUUUAAGAGGAUAAGCCCUUAAAUCCAAAGCUAACAUAAUUUCAUUAUAAACUAAAAUAGGCCUAAUAACAGCCACCUCCAUAACUUUACCGUUUACUUCACACAAUUUAUAAUUAAAAUGCCUCAAUAAGCUGAAAAUUAAGAAUAAUUUUUAAACUCUUAAUUUACUAUGUAAAAAUAAGUAUUAGAAUAUAUUAAUAAAACUUUAUACCUAAUUAACUCUUACUAAGGAACUCGGCAAAUCCUAAUUUCGACUGUUUAACAAAAACAUUGCUUUUUGGAAUAAAUAUAAAAAGUAAUUCCUGCCCAGUGACACAAGUUCAACGGCCGCGGUAUCCUAACCGUGCAAAGGUAGCAUAAUCACUUGCCCAUUAAUUGUGGGCUAGAAUGAAAGGAUUAACGAAAUAAAAGCUGUCUCUGUAAGAAAUAUAAAAAUUAAUCUCUAAUUGAAGAGUAUUAGAUUUAACUGAAGGACAAGAAGACCCUAUAGAGCUUUAUCACAAUGAAAAAACAAAAUAUUCACUAAGAUUCGGUUGGGGCGACCAGGGAAUUUAUAUAUCAUCCCUCAUAACACGAUAAAUUUAUCAAUAUAAAGACCCUUAAUCAAGAUCUAAAAAACAAGCUACCUUAGGGAUAACAGGCUAAUCCCAUUAAAGAGUCCUUAUCUACAAUGGGGUUUGGCACCUCGAUGUUGGCUUAGGGUAUCAGUACGGCGCAAAAGUCCUACAUUGAUGGUUUGUUCAACCAAUAAUCCCCUACAUGAGCUGAGUUCAGACCGGCGUAAGCCAGGUUAGUUUCUAUCCUCAGCUAAAAAUAACUAUUUAUAGUACGAAAGGACCUAAAUAAGUGUAAUAGUUACAUCACAUGAAUAUUAUAAUAUAAAUUAAAUAAAUAAUAUAUACAAAUUAUAUAGU